GGACUGUGAUGAUUAAUUAUAUGGUCUCGUUCGUCGUAAUUGUGUUGAACCACAUUGACGACCACCCAUAAACUGAGUCC
rnacentral:snoRNA from 1 species